rnacentral:rRNA from 1 species
CCUACGGGUGGCUGCAGUGGGGAAUUUUGGACAAUGGGGGCAACCCUGAUCCAGCCAUGCCGCGUGAGUGACGAAGGCCUUCGGGUUGUAAAGCUCUUUCGGCCGGGAGGAAAUCGCAUAGGUUAAUACCCUGUGUGGAUGACAGUACCGGAAUAAGAAGCACCGGCUAACUACGUGCCAGCAGCCGCGGUAAUACGUAGGGUGCGAGCGUUCAUCGGAAGUACUCGGGGUAAAUUGUGAGCAAGGCGUGAAAUCCCCGGGCUCAACCUGGGAACUGCGCUUGUGACUGGAAGGCUAGAGUAUGGCAGAGGGGGGUGGAAUUCCACGUGUAGCAGUGAAAUGCGUAGAGAUGUGGAGGAACACCGAUGGCGAAGGCAGCCCCCUGGGCCAAUACUGACGCUCAUGCACGAAAGCGUGGGGAGCAAACAGGAUUAGAUACCCGUGUAGUC